rnacentral:rRNA from 1 species
GAUGAACGCUGGCGGCGUGCCUAACACAUGCAAGUCGAACGGAGUCCAGCCUUAGAGACCUUCGGGUCAAAGAGGGGAAGACUGAGUGGCGGACGGGUGAGUAACACGUGGGCAACCUGGCUCAUAGAGGGGGAUAACAGAGAGAAAUUUCUGCUAAUACCGCAUAAGCACACACUGCCGCAUGGCAGAGUGUGAAAAGAGAAUCGCUAUGAGAUGGACCCGCGUCUGAUUAGCCAGUUGGCAGGGUAAGAGCCUACCAAAGCGACGAUCAGUAGCCGAUUUGAGAGGAUGAACGGCCACAUUGGGACUGAGACACGGCCCAAACUCCUACGGGAGGCAGCAGUGGGGGAUAUUGCACAAUGGGGGGAACCCUGAUGCAGCGACGCCGCGUGAGUGAAGAAGUAUUUCGGUAUGUAAAGUUCUAUCAGCAGGGAAGAUAAUGACAGUACCUGAAUAAGAAGCCCCGGCUAACUACGUG